rnacentral:rRNA from 1 species
CCCUGCCCUUUGUACACACCGCCCGUCGCUACUACCGAUUGAAUGGCUUAGUGAGACCUCCGGAUCGGCGCCCUUCUGAUGGCAACAUUGGAUAGACGUUGAAAAGCUGGUCAAACUUGGUCAUUUAGAGGAAG